rnacentral:rRNA from 1 species
GAUGAACGCUGGCGGCGUGCCUAAUACAUGCAAGUCGAGCGAACAGACGAGGAGCUUGCUCCUCUGAUGUUAGCGGCGGACGGGUGAGUAACACGUGGAUAACCUACCUAUAAGACUGGGAUAACUUCGGGAAACCGGAGCUAAUACCGGAUAACAUGUUGAACCGCAUGGUUCAACAGUGAAAGACGGUCUUGCUGUCACUUAUAGAUGGAUCCGCGCCGCAUUAGCUAGUUGGUAAGGUAACGGCUUACCAAGGCAACGAUGCGUAGCCGACCUGAGAGGGUGAUCGGCCACACUGGAACUGAGACACGGUCCAGACUCCUACGGGAGGCAGCAGUAGAGAAUCUUCCGCAAUGGGCGAAAGCCUGACGGAGCAACGCCGCGUGAGUGAAGAAGGUCUUCGGAUCGUAAAACUCUGUUAUUAGGGAAGAACAAAUGUGUAAGUAACUAUGCACGUCUUGACGGUACCUAAUCAGAAAGCCACGGCUAACUACGUG